GAUGAACGCUGGCGGCGUGCUUAACACAUGCAAGUCGAGCGAAGCACUCUGUCCGGAUUCUUUCGGGAUGACGGACUUAGUGACUGAGCGGCGGACGGGUGAGUAACGCGUGGGUAACCUGCCUCAUACAGGGGGAUAACAGUUAGAAAUGACUGCUAAUACCGCAUAAGACCACAGUACCGCAUGGUACAGGGGUAAAACUCCGGUGGUAUGAGAUGGACCCGCGUCUGAUUAGCUGGUGUGGGUAACGCUACAAGGCACGAUCAGUAGCCGGCCUGAGAGGGCGACGGCCACAUUGGGACUGAGACACGGGCCCAAAUCCUACGGGAGGCAGCAGUGGGGAAUAUGCACAAUGGGGCGAAAGCCUGAUGCAGCGACGCCGCGUGAGCGAUGAAGUAUUUCGGGAUGUAAAGCUCUAUC
rnacentral:rRNA from 1 species